rnacentral:rRNA from 1 species
CACGUAGGGUGCGAGCGUUGUCCGGAAUUAUUGGGCGUAAAGAGCUCGUAGGCGGUGUGUCGCGUCGGCCGUGAAAACUUGGGGCUUAACUCUGAGCGUGCGGUCGAUACGGGCAUCACUUGAGUUCGGCAGGGGAGACUGGAAUUCCUGGUGUAGCGGUGAAAUGCGCAGAUAUCAGGAGGAACACCGGUGGCGAAGGCGGGUCUCUGGGCCGAUACUGACGCUGAGGCGCGAAAGCGUGGGGAGCAAACAGG